CCUACGGGUGGCAGCAGUGGGGAAUCUUGCACACUGGGGGAAACCCUGAUGCAGCGACGCCGCGUGAGUGAAGAAGUAUUUCGGUAUGUAAAGCUCUAUCAGCAGGGACGAAAUAGCGACCUUUGGGUCGCCAGACGGUACCUGACUAAGAAGCCCCGGCUAACUCCGUGCCAGCAGCCGCGGUAAUACGGCGGAUGCGAGCGUCAUCCGGAUUUAUUGGGUUUAAAGGGUGCGUAGGCGGACUGUUAAGUCAGCGGUAAAAGCCCGGGGCUCAACCCCGGCGAGCCGUGGAAACUGGCUGGCUGGAGAUGUCGAGAAGUAUGCGGAAUGCGCAGUGUAGCGGUGAAAUGCUUAGAUAUUGCGCAGAACUCCGAUUGCGAAGGCAGCAUACCGGCGGCGAUCUGACGCUGAGGCACGAAAGCGUGGGUAUCGAACAGGAUUAGAUACCCUUGUAGUC
rnacentral:rRNA from 1 species